rnacentral:rRNA from 1 species
GAUGAACGCUGGCGGCGUGCCUAAUACAUGCAAGUCGAGCGAACAGACGAGGAGCUUGCUCCUCUGACGUUAGCGGCGGACGGGUGAGUAACACGUGGAUAACCUACCUAUAAGACUGGGAUAACUUCGGGAAACCGGAGCUAAUACCGGAUAACAUGUUGAACCGCAUGGUUCAACAGUGAAAGACGGUCUUGCUGUCACUUAUAGAUGGAUCCGCGCCGCAUUAGCUAGUUGGUAAGGUAACGGCUUACCAAGGCAACGAUGCGUAGCCGACCUGAGAGGGUGAUCGGCCACAUUGGAACUGAGACACGGUCCAGACUCCUACGGGAGGCAGCAGUAGGGAAUCUUCCGCAAAGGGCGAAAGCCUGACGGAGCAACGCCGCGUGAGUGAAGAAGGUCUUCGGAUCGUAAAACUCUGUUAUUAGGGAAGAACAAAUGUGUAAGUAACUAUGCACGUCUUGACGGUACCUAAUCAGAAAGCCACGGCUAACUACGUG